GGGUGGGUUGGCUCAGUGGUUAGAGCGUAGGUCUCGUAAACCUCAGCGAGAUUCCCCACCUG
rnacentral:tRNA from 1 species